UACGGAGGGGGCUAGCGUUGUUCGGAAUUACUGGGCGUAAAGCGCACGUAGGCGGCUUUGUAAGUUAGAGGUGAAAGCCUGGGGCUCAACUCCAGAAUUGCCUUUAAGACUGCAUCGCUUGAAUCGCGGAGAGGUGAGUGGAAUUCCGAGUGUAGAGGUGAAAUUCGUAGAUAUUCGGAAGAACACCAGUGGCGAAGGUGGCUCACUGGACGCGUAUUGACGCUGAGGUGCGAAAGCGUGGGUAGCAAACAGG
rnacentral:rRNA from 1 species